rnacentral:rRNA from 1 species
AAUAUUGCACAAUGGGGGAAACCCUGAUGCAGCCAUGCCGCGUGUGUGAAGAAGGCCUUCGGGUUGUAAAGCACUUUCAGUAGGGAGGAAAGGGUGAGUCUUAAUACGGCUCAUCUGUGACGUUACCUACAGAAGAAGGACCGGCUAACUCCGUGCCAGCAGCCGCGGUAAUACGGAGGGUCCGAGCGUUAAUCGGAAUUACUGGGCGUAAAGCGUGCGCAGGCGGUUUGUUAAGCGAGAUGUGAAAGCCCUGGGCUCAACCUAGGAAUAGCAUUUCGAACUGGCGAACUAGAGUCUUGUAGAGGGGGGUAGAAUUCCAGGUGUAGCGGUGAAAUGCGUAGAGAUCUGGAGGAAUACCGGUGGCGAUGCGGCCCCUGGACAAAGACUGACGCUCAUGCACGAAAGCGUGGGGAGCAAAUCAGGAUUAGAUACUCCUGCUAGUCCACGCCGUAAACGAUGUCUACUCGGAGUUUGCUGUCUUGAACACUGGGCUCUCAAGCUAACGCAUUAAGUAGACCGCCUGGGGAGUACGGCCGCAAGGUUAAAACUCAAAUGAAUUGACGGGGGCCCGCACAAGCGGUGGAGCAUGUGGUUUAAUUCGAUGCAACGCGAAGAACCUUACCUACUCUUGACAUCCACAGAAGAGACCAGAGAUGGACUUGUGCCUUCGGGAACUGUGAGACAGGUGCUGCAUGGCUGUCGUCAGCUCGUGUUGUGAAAUGUUGGGUUAAGUCCCGCAACGAGCGCAACCCCUAUCCUUAUUUGCCAGCACGUAAUGGUGGGAACUCUAGGGAGACUGCCGGUGAUAAACCGGAGGA